rnacentral:rRNA from 1 species
GAUGAACGCUGGCGGCGUGCCUAAUACAUGCAAGUCGAGCGAACAGACGAGGAGCUUGCUCCUCUGACGUUAGCGGCGGACGGGUGAGUAACACGUGGAUAACCUACCUAUAAGACUGGGAUAACUUCGGGAAACCGGAGCUAAUACCGGAUAAUAUAUUGAACCGCAUGGUUCAAUAGUGAAAGACGGUUUUGCUGUCACUUAUAGAUGGAUCCGCGCCGCAUUAGCUAGUUGGUAAGGUAACGGCUUACCAAGGCGACGAUGCGUAGCCGACCUGAGAGGGUGAUCGGCCACACUGGAACUGAGACACGGUCCAGACUCCUACGGGAGGCAGCAGUAGGGAAUCUUCCGCAAUGGGCGAAAGCCUGACGGAGCAACGCCGCGGGAGUGAUGAAGGUCUUCGGAUCGUAAAACUCUGUUAUUAGGGAAGAACAAAUGUGUAGUAACUAUGCACGUCUUGACGGUACCUAAUCAGAAAGCCACGGCUAACUACGUG